GAUGAAGAACGCAGCGAAAUGCGAUAAGUAAUGCGAAUUGCAGAUUUCAGUGAGUCAUCGAAUCUUUGAACGCACAUUGCGCCCGCCAGUAUUCUGGCGGGCAUGCCUGUUCGAGCGUCAUUACAACCCUCAGGCCCCCGGGCCUGGCGUUGGGGAUCGGCGGAGCCCCCCGUGGGCACACGCCGUCCCCCAAAUGCAGUGGCGGUCCCGCCGCAGCUUCCAUCGCGUAGUAGCUAACACCUCGCGACUGGAGAGCGGCGCGGCCACGCCGUAAAACACCCAACUCUUCUGAAGUUGACCUCGAAUCAGGUAGGAAUACCCGCUGAACUUAAGCAUAUCAAUAAGCGGAGGA
rnacentral:misc_RNA from 1 species